AAUGCUGGGGUAAAAUGGUAGGAAAACAUGCAAAGCUGGUAUACAGAAGACAAACAAUGUGAAAUGUAGAAGGAGCUGAAACAGAUUUUCCGACUGCAGUAAUAAAUGAUAAACAAGUGCAAGCUGGCCAAAUGGGCGUGGCAGUGGGAAUGUGAAGGUGUAGGGGCUUUUCCAUUUCCCAGUUGCUAGGCUGAUAUUGAAAACUGCUGCCUGCAAAGCUAAGCAAAUGUUGCCCAGCGUCAAUGUGUGUGCGUGUGUGGGUGUGUGUGUCUUUUCACACUCUUGCAUUAUUUAUGCAGGCCACCAUUCGUGCGUGAGUGUGUGUGUGUGUGUGUGAGCCAUGUACGUGCCUCGAACUGCAACGACAGCUGCUCCUGCCCCAGUUACCCGGAACCAGGAUUCUGGAUCCUGGAUCCAGCGCCCAGUACCCAGGAUUCAGAAUCCAGAACCCAGAACCCAGAAUCCAGCCUCCACUUUGGGACCCUGUGUGCGCAUAUAUAUUUAUUCCAUGUACAUAUUCUUGCACGUCGCAAAAGAGCAGAGGUCCGGGGAAAAGGACACGGGACGCAGGUCUGAGCACUCCGGACAAAGGGUGACUGCUGCCGUUUAUUGUCCUGCUCCUGCUUCUGCUCCGGCUCCUGCGAAUGGCGGAGCACUGGAGCUGUGGAGAAACGUGGCCGGGCAAGUGACCCAGAAAGUACCAGUAACCAGCAAUAAAUGGCAAUAUUUGAUGGAUUACUUGAGCGUUACUUUGACUUGCCAACGAAAAGAAGAGUAUAAUUUUAUCGUGUUUGUGGGCGGACGUUGAAUGAAUAAGUAAUAGAUUCAAUUUUAUUUUCUGUUGCUAAUAAACAUAAAUUAUUUU
ensembl:ncRNA lncRNA:CR43193 long non-coding RNA:CR43193